rnacentral:misc_RNA from 1 species
CGUCGCCGCCAGCUUCACACUACAAGGUCCCCUCAGUUCCUAGGGCUCCGAAAUCAGCGCGGGCUUUGGUCCGAAUCUGAUUACGGAUCCGACGUUAUUAUUGGAGUGUUCGAUACCGGAAUCUGGCCGGAGCGCCGUAGCUUCUCGGAUGUCAAUCUCGGCCCUGUGCCAGCCCGGUGGAAAGGCAUUUGUGAGGCUGGAGUGAAAUUCACCACCAAAAAUUGUAAUAAGAAGUUAAUUGGGGCUCGUUUUUUCCUCGAAGGUCAUGAAGCGGCUGCGAGAUCGGCAGGGCCGAUAAGCGGAAUAAACGAAACCAUUGAGUUCAAAUCUCCCAGAGAUGCGGAUGGACAUGGGACGCACACAGCGUCGACUGCGGCGGGAAGGCACUCGUUCGGCGCCAGCAUGGCGGGGUACGCGCCGGGGAUUGCUAAAGGUGUUGCUCCAAAAGCGCGACUGGCUGCUUACAAGGUGUGUUGGAAAAAUUCGGGCUGUUUCGAUUC